rnacentral:rRNA from 1 species
AGAGUUUGAUCCUGGCUCAGAGUGAACGCUGGCGGCGUGCCUAAUACAUGCAAGUCGAACGAUGAAUCUUCUAGCUUGCUAGAAGUGGAUUAGUGGCGCACGGGUGAGUAAUGCAUAGGUUAUGUGCCCUUUAGUCUGGGAUAGCCACUGGAAACGGUGAUUAAUACUGGAUACUCCCUACGGGGGAAAGUUUUUCGCUAAAGGAUCAGCCUAUGUCCUAUCAGCUUGUUGGUGAGGUAAUGGCUCACCAAGGCUAUGACGGGUAUCCGGCCUGAGAGGGUGAUCGGACACACUGGAACUGAGACACGGUCCAGACUCCUACGGGAGGCAGCAGUAGGGAAUAUUGCUCAAUGGGGGAAACCCUGAAGCAGCAACGCCGCGUGGAGGAUGAAGGUUUUAGGAUUGUAAACUCCUUUUGUUAGAGAAGAUUAUGACGGUAUCUAACGAAUAAGCACCGGCUAACUCCGUG